rnacentral:rRNA from 1 species
CUCGGGUGAACUGUGGUUAAGGAACUCGGCAAAUUGCCCCCGUAACUUCGGGAGAAGGGGGACCUCUGCUGGUGAUGGGCUUUACGUCUGGAGCUGGUGGGGGUCGCAGUGGCCAGGGGGAAGCGACUGUUUACUAAAAACACAGGUCCGUGCGAAGUCGUAAGACGAUGUAUACGGACUGACGCCUGCCCGGUGCCGGAACGUUAAGGGGACCGCUUAGCCGACGCAAGUUGGCGAAGGUGAGAACUUAAGCGCCGGUAAACGGCGGUGGUAACUAUAACCAUCCUAAGGUAGCGAAAUUCCUUGUCGGGUAAGUUCCGACCUGCACGAAUGGCGUAACGACUUCCCCGCUGUCUCAACCACAGACCCGGCGAAAUUGCACUACGAGUAAAGAUGCUCGUUUCGCGCAGCAGGACGGAAAGACCCCGGGACCUUCACUACAGCUUGACAUUGGCGUUUGGAGCGUCUUGUGUAGGAUAGGUGGGAGACUGGGAAGCUGUCACGCUAGUGAUGGUGGAGUCAUUGGUGAAAUACCACUCUGGUCGUUUUGAACGUCUAACUCUGGUCCGUGAUCCGGAUCGGGGACAGUGUCUGGUGGGUAGUUUAACUGGGGCGGUUGCCUCCUAAAGAGUAACGGAGGCGCCCAAAGGUUCCCUCAGCCUGGUUGGCAAUCAGGUGUUGAGUGUAAGUGCACAAGGGAGCUUGACUGUGAGACUGACAGGUCGAGCAGGAGCGAAAGCUGGGACUAGUGAUCCGGCAUCGGCGUGUGGAAGCGGUGUCGCUCAACGGCUAAAAGGUACCCCGGGGAUAACAGGCUGAUCUUCCCCAAGAGUCCAUAUCGACGGGAUGGUUUGGCACCUCGAUGUCGGCUCGUCGCAUCCUGGGGCUGGAGUAUGUCCCAAGGGUUGGGCUGUUCGCCCAUUAAAGCGGUACGCGAGCUGGGUUUAGAACGUCGCGAGACAGUUCGGCCCCUAUCCGCUGCGCGCGCAGGAGACUUGAAGGGGGCUGUCCCUAGUACGAGAGGACCGGGGCGGACGAACCUCUGGUGUGCCAGUUGUACCGCCAGGUGCACGGCUGGUUGGCUACGUUCGGAAGGGAUAACCGCUGAAAGCAUCUAAGCGGGAAGCUCGCCUUGAGAUGAGGUCUCCCACCCUGUGAGGGGGUAAGGCUCCCGGUAGUCGACCGGGUUGAUAGGCCGGAGGUGGAAGCACGGUAACGUGUGGAGCUGACCGGUACUAAUAGGCCGAGGACUUGAC